rnacentral:rRNA from 1 species
UACGUAGGUGGCGAGCGUUAUCCGGAAUGAUUGGGCGUAAAGGGUGCGUAGGCGGGCUUUUAAGACAGCGGUAAAAAUUCGGGGCUCAACCCCGUCCGGCCGUUGAAACUGGGGGCCUUGAGUGGGCGAGAAGAAGGCGGAAUGCGUGGUGUAGCGGUGAAAUGCAUAGAUAUCACGCAGAACCCCGAUUGCGAAGGCAGCCUUCCGGCGCCCUACUGACGCUGAGGCACGAAAGUGCGGGGAUCGAACAGG